rnacentral:misc_RNA from 1 species
UCCCUGUUGCCAGGGCAGUCUAUUCAGAAAAAUUCAACUGAAUAUAAGGGUUGCGCUCGUUAAUGGACUUAACCAAACAUCUCACGACACGAGCUGACGACGGCCAUGCAUCACCUGUCACUUGGUCCCGAAGGAACACUCCUCUUUCGAGGUAGCUGCCAAGGAUGUCAAACCUGGGUAAGGUUCUUCGCUUAUCGUCGAAUUAAACAACACGCUCCACCGCUUGUGCGGGUCCCCGUCAAUUCCUUUAUGUUUUAAGCUUGCGCUCGUACUCCACAGGCGGGAUGCUUAACGCGUUAGCUUCGCUACUAGAAGGGUCGAUACUCCUAACAGCUAGCAUCCAUCGUUUACGGCGUGGACUAC